rnacentral:rRNA from 1 species
AAAUUGAAGAGUUUGAUCAUGGCUCAGAUUGAACGCUGGCGGCAGGCCUAACACAUGCAAGUCGAACGGUAGCACAGAGAGCUUGCUCUCGGGUGACGAGUGGCGGACGGGUGAGUAAUGUCUGGGAAACUGCCUGAUGGAGGGGGAUAACUACUGGAAACGGUGGCUAAUACCGCAUAACGUCGCAAGACCAAAGAGGGGGACCUUCGGGCCUCUUGCCAUCAGAUGUGCCCAGAUGGGAUUAGCUUGUUGGUGAGGUAACGGCUCACCAAGGCGACGAUCCCUAGCUGGUCUGAGAGGAUGACCAGCCACACUGGAACUGAGACACGGUCCAGACUCCUACGGGAGGCAGCAGUGGGGA